rnacentral:rRNA from 1 species
GGCCGCGGGAAUUCGAUUCAGGCCUAACACAUGCAAGUCGAGCGAGCAGAUUUCCUUCGGGAAUGAAGCUAGCGGCGGACGGGUGAGUAACACGUGGGCAACCUGCCUCAUAGAGGGGAAUAGCCUCCCGAAAGGGAGAUUAAUACCGCAUAAGAUUGUAGCUUCGCAUGAAGUAGCAAUUAAAGGAGCAAUCCGCUAUGAGAUGGGCCCGCGACGCAUUAGCUAGUUGGUGAGGUAACGGCUCACCAAGGCGACGAUGCGUAGCCGACCUGAGAGGGUGAUCGGCCACAUUGGGACUGAGACACGGCCCAGACUCCUACGGGAGGCAGCAGUGGGGAAUAUUGCACAAGGGGGGAAACCCUGAUGCAGCAACGCCGCGUGAG